AACGCGAAGAACCUUACCUGGGCUUGAACCGCACAGGACCAUUCGCCGAAAGGCGAACUUCCCGCAAGGGACCUGUGUAGAGGUGCUGCAUGGCUGUCGUCAGCUCGUGCCGUGAGGUGUUGGGUUAAGUCCCGCAACGAGCGCAACCCUUACUCAUAGUUGCUACCCGCAAGGGAGAACUCUAUGAGGACUGCUCCGGAUAACGGAGAGGAAGGUGGGGAUGAGGUCAAGUCAGCAUGGCCUUUAUGUCCAGGGCUACACACGUGUUACAAUGCGCGCUACAGAGCGUUGCAAACCCGCGAGGGGGAGCUAAUCGCAAAAAAGCGCGCUCAGUUCGGAUUGCAGUCUGCAACUCGACUGCAUGAAGCCGGAAUCGCUAGUAAUGGCGCAUCAGAACGGCGCCGUGAAUACGUUCCCGGGCCUUGUACACACCGCGAGC
rnacentral:rRNA from 1 species